AUUCUCUUGGGGUGGCACUAUGGCCUGAGAUUACACCCUGUGAACCUGAUCUGGUUAAUACCAGCGUAGGGAAGCGACAGAA
rnacentral:ncRNA from 1 species